UACGAAGGGGGCUAGCGUUGCUCGGAAUCACUGGGCGUAAAGGGUGCGUAGGCGGGUCUUUAAGUCAGGGGUGAAAUCCUGGAGCUCAACUCCAGAACUGCCUUUGAUACUGAAGAUCUUGAGUUCGGGAGAGGUGAGUGGAACUGCGAGUGUAGAGGUGAAAUUCGUAGAUAUUCGCAAGAACACCAGUGGCGAAGGCGGCUCACUGGCCCG
rnacentral:rRNA from 1 species